GGUUGCGAUCAUACCAGCACUAAUGCACCGGAUCCCAUCAGAACUCCGCAGUUAAGCGUGCUUGGGCGAGAGUAGUACUAGGAUGGGUGACCCCCUGGGAAGUCCUCGUGUUGCAACCU
rnacentral:rRNA from 1 species